AACGCACAUUGCGCCCCUUGGUAUUCCGGGGGGCAUGCCUGUUCGAGCGUCAUUUCAACCCUCAAGCUCAGCUUGGUAUUGAGUCCAUGUCAGUAAUGGCAGGCUCUAAAAUCAGUGGCGGCGCCGCUGGGUCCUAAACGUAGUAAUAUAUCUCGUUACAGGUUCUCAGUGAGCUUCUGCCAAAACCCAAAUUUUCUAUGGUUGACCUCGGAUCAGGUAGGGAUACCCGCUGAACUUAA
rnacentral:misc_RNA from 1 species